UAGAAAUCAAGUUUCUAUGCAAAUGGCAGG
rnacentral:piRNA from 1 species